rnacentral:lncRNA from 10 species
UAGUGAGAAAUGGAACAAGAUUUGAUCCUUUAGCUGGGGUGGGAUGAGGAGGACUCACUGUGAGGAAAACCCCUUUGAGGAACCACCUAGAAGAGGGAAGGAGCAAGCAUGUACACCAAGGAGGGGCAUUGAAGCAGAGGAGACAGUAGGGCUGAGGGCUGCGGCAGUGAAUAGAGCAGGUGAGGUGGGGGCAAAGUGAUGAGGUCAAGGGGCAGAGGAGGUGGGGGACAGAAGAUGUAAGACCUUGCCAGCCAUGGCAUAAGCCUUGCAUUACUCUAUGUGAGACAGGAAGCCACUGGAGUUGUUUUGAGGACAGGAAUGACAUUUUGACAUGACCCCUUAGGUUGUCAGUUGAGAAGAAAAAGAAGAGGGGCAAGGGAUGAAGCCAGACACCAAUUUAGGAGGCAUCUGCAAGGUCCCAGGUGACAGACACCUGCGCUUACACGAGGUUGUGGCAGUGAAGGUGCUGAAAUGAGAAAUAAAAAAAUCACGGAAUGUCACAGAAGUCAUAGAACUUGACAAAGGACACACAGCUCAGUAUGAAUCCAGGUUGGCUUGACACGAUACUGCCUGCAGGACAACAUGUGCCUUCAUUAACCACAAGGACUAAGUCUACCAAAGUGACCCACUGGAUGCUUAUUAUCCUCUCUUUGUAAUAUGAUGGCAUUUAUAAAAGUAAUACUGAGAAAAUCCAAAGCUUAUAAUUUGGAAACAUAAAUCUACCCAUAACACUGUUUUUAAGCACCAGACAAAUUCAAACUCACUUGCUUCUAAGCAACUCUUGCUUAAACAAAUUAAGAACAUCUUUUAGACAUUUCUGCCAGGAA